rnacentral:rRNA from 1 species
AACGAACGCUGGCGGCAUGCCUAACACAUGCAAGUCGAACGAGACCUUCGGGUCUAGUUGCGCACGGGUGCGUAACGCGUGGGAACCUGCCCUUAGGUUCGGAAUAACUCCCCGAAAGGGGUGCUAAUACCGGAUAAUGUCUUCGGACCAAAGAUUUAUCGCCUUUGGAUGGGCCCGCGUUGGAUUAGCUAGUUGGUAGGGUAAAAGCCUACCAAGGCGACGAUCCAUAGCUGGUCUGAGAGGAUGAUCAGCCACACUGGGACUGAGACACGGCCCAGAAUCCUACGGGAGGGAGCAGUGGGGAAUAUUGGACAAUGGGCGAAAGCCUGAUCCAGCAAUGCCGCGUGAGUGAUGAAGGCCUUAGGGUUGUAAAGCUCUUUUACCCGGGAUGAUAAUGACAGUACCGGGAGAAUAAGCACCGGCUAACUCCGUG